AAGAGUUUGAUCAUAGCUCAGGAUGAACGCUAGCGGUGCGCCUAACACAUGCAAGUCGAACGGACGUGAUUGGCAACACAGAACCUAUAAUUUAGUUAUAAGGUAUCAGAAGGCAGAAGGCAGGUAUCAGAAAGGAAGAUUUUUAAUAAAUCUAUUAAAUAAAUCCAUUCUAAUUACUGAUCCCUGAUAACUGAUAUCUCAUUAACAAAUUGUCAGUUAUGCGUUGUCAGUCACGUUAGUGGCAAACGGGUGAGUAACAAGUUUGUACCUACCCCAAAGUGAGGGAUAGCCCGGAGAAAUCCGGAUUAAUACCGCAUAUGACCUACGGGUUAAAGCCGCAAGGCGCUUUGGGAGGGGCAUGCUUUCUAUCAGCUAGUUGGUGAGGUAAUAGCUCACCAAGGCUAUGACGGAUAGUUGGUCUGAGAGGACGACCAGCCACAAUGGAACUGAGACACGGUCCAUACUCCUACGGGAGGCAGCAGUGAGGAAUCUUCCGCAAUGGGCGAAAGCCUGACGGAGCGACACCGCGUGGAGGAUGACGCGUUUACUCGUGUAAACUCCUUUUCUGUGGGAAGAUAAUGACGGUACCACAGGAAUAAGGGGCGGCAAACUACGUGCCAGCAGCCGCGGUAAUACGUAGGCCCCAAGCGUUAUCCGGAAUUACUGGGUGUAAAGCGUCUGUAGGUGGGAAUACAAGUCUUCUAUGAAAGACCGGAGCUCAACUCCGUGUUUGUGGGAGAUACUAUAUUUCUAGAAUCGGGGAGAGGGAAGCAGAAUUGUAUGAGUAGGGGUGCAAUCCGUUGAUACAUACAAGAAUACCAAAAGCGAAGGCAGCUUCCUGGAACCGUAUUGACACUGAGAGACGAAAGCGUGGGGAGCGAAAAGGAUUAGAUACCCUUGUAGUCCACGCCCUAAACGAUGGGUACUGAGUGUUGGGACUUGUUCCCAGUGCUUCAAGCUAACGCAUUAAGUACCCCACCUGAGGAGUACGGCCGCAAGGUUAAAACUCAAAUGAAUAGACGGGGACCCACACAAGCAGUGGAUCAUGUGGUUUAAUUCGACAAUAAACGGGGAACCUUACCUAGGCUUGACAUCCUACGAAUCCGGCGGAAACGUUGGAGUGCUCGCAAGAGAAUGUAGAGACAGGCGCUGCAUGGUUGUCGUCAGCUCGUGCCUUGAGGUGUUCGGUUAAGUCCGUUAACGAGCGCAACCCACGUCAUUAGUUACUAUGUCUAAUGAGACUGCCUGAGUUAAUCAGGAGGAAGGUGUGGAUGACGUCAAAUCAGCAUGGCCCUUAUGCCUAGGGCUACACACAUGAUACAAUGGUCGGUACAAAGAGUUGCAAACCCGCGAGGGCAAGCUAAUCUCAUAAAGCCGAUCUCAGUCCAGAUUGGAGGCUGCAACUCGCCUCCAUGAAGUUGGAAUUGCUAGUAAUCGUGAAUCAGACAUGUCACGGUGAAUAUGUUCCUGGGUCUUGUACUCACCGCCCGUCAUGGCAUGGAAGGUGGUUCUGCUGGAAGCCCCCGAAGCAAUAUUGGGGUCCAUAGUAAAAUCACUAACUGGGCUAAAGUCGUAACAAGGUAUCCGUACGAGAACGUGCGGAUGGACUAUCUCCUUA
rnacentral:rRNA from 2 species